CCAGACUCCUACGGGAGGCAGCAGUGGGGAAUAUUGCACAAUGGGCGGAAGCCUGAUGCAGCAACGCCGCGUGCGGGAUGACGGCCUUCGGGUUGUAAACCGCUUUCGCCUGUGACGAAGCGUGAGUGACGGUAAUGGGUAAAGAAGCACCGGCUAACUACGUGCCAGCAGCCGCGGUGAUACGUAGGGUGCGAGCGUUGUCCGGAUUUAUUGGGCGUAAAGGGCUCGUAGGUGGUUGAUCGCGUCGGAAGUGUAAUCUUGGGGCUUAACCCUGAGCGUGCUUUCGAUACGGGUUGACUUGAGGAAGGUAGGGGAGAAUGGAAUUCCUGGUGGAGCGGUGGAAUGCGCAGAUAUCAGGAGGAACACCAGUGGCGAAGGCGGUUCUCUGGGCCUUUCCUGACGCUGAGGAGCGAAAGCGUGGGGAGCGAACAGGCUUAGAUACCCUGGUAGUCCACGCUGUAAACGGUGGGUACUAGGUGUGGGGUCCAUUCCACGGGUUUCCGUGCCGUAGCUAACGCUUUAAGUACCCCGCCUGGGGA
rnacentral:rRNA from 1 species